rnacentral:misc_RNA from 2 species
UCGAGUGGAGGGUCUGCUAUGGGCCCAAAUCUCCUACCCGUGUUUAUCUGUACCAUGUUGCUUCGGCGGAUCUGCCGGGCAGGCGCCCGCCGGAUGCCCUUUUUUAUUUAAUUAACUGCUGCCGUGCAAAGAUUGCUGUCUGAGUGAUGAAACAAAGAUUGUUCA